UGUUAAUAAUGUUAAUAAUAGAUACCGGGUAGCGUGAAACUGCUGCAUUUAUCCAAUACUUUUUCUAUCGAAAACUGCCCGAAAUGGCCAGAAUCAAAGGUUGCACGAAAAGUAGUACGUUUUCGGUGAAGGCCUAACGCUUACAGCUCCUAACUACUGCACGAAUAUCUCCCUGCUCAUAGCCCCUGGGUCCCUUCUUCUCUCCAUGGAAAGCAGAGGAACAAUGUAUCCUUACAGUUAAAUAGAGACCUCAGAAACAGGAUGUUUGGUUUCUCCAUCAAGGAAGUCCUUAUAUAAAUAAAUGAUAAAGUGUUUUAAGAAGUGUGUUUAGCCCUUCCUACAGUAUUCUAAAGGAGUGUACACAAUGACAUCUUUAUAUCACAAUUGAUUUUUUUUCAAAA